UCCAGACUCCUACGGGAGGCAGCAGUGAGGAAUAUUGGUCAAUGGGCUUACGCCUGAACCAGCCAAGUCGCGUGAGGGAAGACUGCCCUAUGGGUUGUAAACCUCUUUUGCCGGGGAGCAAGCGUGCGUUCGUGAACGCGCGUCGAGAGUACCCGGAGAAAAAGCAUCGGCUAACUCCGUGCCAGCAGCCGCGGUAAUACGGAGGAUGCGAGCGUUAUCCGGAUUUAUUGGGUUUAAAGGGUGCGCAGGCGGAAUGUCAAGUCAGCGGUAAAAUUUCGGGGCUCAACCCCGUCGUGCCGUUGAAACUGGCGUUCUUGAGUGAGCGAGAAGUAUGCGGAAUGCGUGGUGUAGCGGUGAAAUGCAUAGAUAUCACGCAGAACUCCGAUUGCGAAGGCAGCAUACCGGCGCUCAACUGACGCUCAUGCACGAAAGCGUGGGUAUCGAACAGGAUUAGAUACCCCAGUAAG
rnacentral:rRNA from 1 species